rnacentral:rRNA from 1 species
GUAGGGAAUAUUGGGCAAUGGAUGCAAGUCUGACCCAGCCAUCCCGCGUGCCGGAAGAAGGCCCUCAGGGUUGUAAACGGCUUUUGACGGUGAAGAAUCGACAGGAUGCGUCCUGUUUUGACGGUAGCCGUUGAAUAAGCACCGGCUAACUCCGUGCCAGCAGCCGCGGUAAUACGGAGGGUGCGAGCGUUGUCCGGAUUUAUUGGGUUUAAAGGGUGCGUAGGCUGGCAGGUCAGUCAGCGGUGAAAAGCUGUCGCUUAACGAUAGUCUUGCCGCAGAUACUUCCUUUCUUGGAUGAGGAGGAGGCCACUGGAACGGAUGGUGUAGCGGUGAAAUGCAUAGAUAUCAUCCAGAACACCGAUUGCGAAGGCAGGUGGCUGUACCUUAAUCGACGCUGAUGCACGAAAGCAUGGGGAGCAAACAGGAUUAGAUACCCGGGUAGUCC